GGCGGCGUAGCUCAGCUGGCUAGAGCGUACGGUUCAUACCCGUAAGGUCGGGGGUUCGAGCCCCUCUGCCGCUA
rfam:Paenibacillus sp. Soil787 contig_20, whole genome shotgun sequence.